rfam:Schistosoma curassoni strain Dakar, Senegal genome assembly, scaffold: SCTD_scaffold0008252
AUUCAGCUGACGACUCCCAAAUGGGAUGAAACACGCGUCCUAAAU